UUCUUUUUUUUUUUUUUUUUUAAUAUUUAUUUAUUUUUUAGUUCUUGGCGGACACAACAUCUUUGUAUGUGGUGCUGAGGAUCAAACCUGGGCCGCACGCAUGCCAGGCGAGCGCGCUACCGCUUGAGCCACAUCUCCAGCCCCUGACUAGCAUAUUCUUCACCUCAGGCUAUCCUUUCAAAAAUAUCCUUUAUUACAACCUCUGUGGCUUUGUUUUUAUACUUUGUGAAAUGACAUACUGCAAUCUUUCUUGCUUUUCUUAAUCUGUUUCUUUUUGUAAGGUUUUAUGCAGCCUCUCCAUGCUUUGUCUGAAUUGGCCAUACUCUUUAUUACUGUGUUGCUUCUUUGCUAAGGAAAAAAAAUGAAAAUGUUAAGAGAAAUUCAACUAAGAAAUUUUGCUUUUAAUAAUCAUAGCAAAAAUUGGAAAAAUGGAAAUGCAUAUGAUAUUAGUUAUUAAUGUAUUACCUUUUGAUCCAAAUCCACCGUUUGCUUCUUGUUCUGCCAUAAUAGAGCUGGACCCUAUAAGCAAUUCUGUUUUGAUAAGUGGACAUGAGGGCUCUAGGGAAGAUGCUGAAGGACACAGGGCUUUCUCUUCCUAGAUCUAGCAUGCUUGUUUUCUUCUUAGUUCAACUAUGUGGCUGACAGUGGCAUUUAUGGGUACAUCUAGUGGUUCUCAUCCCCAAUGAGUGUCAUGGCCCUCUGUGAACAGCUUCCACAUCCCUGAAACAGUUUGCCAGUGAGUUCCACGAGCUCACCCCAGGGCAGCUUCCUGGUACAUUCUACUGCCACAUCCCCAGUUUCUCAAUGAUGCUCAGUAAUUCUGACAGAACCCACUCUGGAGGCUUCCUGAAAAUUCUACCAUCACCUCAAAGAGUGAGUAGUUCCCUCCUUCCUAGAUUUGGCUUGCAGCAGCUCAUUGGACCUCUCUACCAUUUCAUUGGUCAUGGCCACUAUGACUUCUCAAAUUUUAGGUCCCAGCUCCAGAAGGGAGGGGACUUUUCCAAAUUUAUUUCUUAGAUGGGUACUGUACACUAGAGAUAAUGGCUGCUCUCUCUAUGCUGUUCUUGUAAUAAGUACUGCUUUCUAUCCCUUCCAUAGUUAAUCUCUUACUCCUAGUUAAUAUUUAUUUUUAUUAAACAUCCCUGUUCAAAUUACUGUGUGCUUUAUUAAACAUUUUCUUUUCAGAUUACUGUCCUAUCUCCUGGCUGAUCCUUAACAGAGUAAAUCAUUGAAAAAAGAUGAAAUAAACUAGAAUACUAUGCAGGAAUUAAAAAAGAAUAAAUCAGGCUUUUGUGAAAGACCAACUGCUAUAGGAAUUGCCUCUCUCCAUAAAUAUAUAGAAAAUUUCACAAAACGUAUGAAAUAAUUAUUUACAGACCUUGUACUUGAAGCAGCACAAGACUGUGAUCUCUGAAAGAUACAAAUGAAGCUAGCUCUACAAUUUCCCCAGCCUGGAGGCAGUUUUCAGACUAUAGUACAGAGAGGGAUACUCAAAAUGAGAGUCUUGCUGAGUUGAAGAGAAAGAUAAAGAAUACAAAUGAGGCCAGAGUGCCAGAAAUUUGCAGGAUGGAGUUCUGAAAAGAGGGAUCUCCACAAAUAACUCUGGAGAUUUUUACAGGGGCCUUCAAGAGGCUUUGGCUGAGUUCUGUCUGCACAUACAUGGAAUAAAAUACAAUUAGGCCUGGAAAAGAAUCACCAAAAGCAGUAGGCCAACACUUCUUAGAAUUCCUUAAGUUCUGGGAGUUGUAGAAAAUUCCACAGAAUGGAAGAUCUAAUAUAAUAGGCUUCAGAGAGAAGAACAGACAUAUCUCAGUAGUGUAGGUAAUUAACAGACAUAUCUCAGUAGUGUAGGUAAUUAAUCCUAUAGUAAGACUGCUCUUGGCGUUCCAUAACAAAGCUUACAAACAAGCUUCAGAAGAUCUUAGAACAAAGUCCAACACUCUUGUAAGGAAUACAACAGAAUCCAGUAAAAUUCAACAUGUUCAAAAGUUAACAGGUAUUUUAAAAAGCAGGAAAUAUCCCAUCAAGAACCUUUUUUUUUUUCCUUUUUGGUUUUUAAGUUUUGUAUGCUGAACAGCCCAUGAACAUUUGUACAUAUAUAUAUUUGUCUCAAUCUUCUCAUUUCUAGCAUUUCUUGAAGGUAACUAUUUUCUUGACUCUUUUUUUAAGGACUAGGGUUUUUGAUUAGUAUACCUUGGUUUUAUUUUUUGUUUUGUUUCAUAUUAUUUUUCUCCUAAUUCCCUUGAUUAUCUUCUUUUCUUUUCUUUCCCUAACAGUCAAAUUCUACUGUUCUUUCACUCUUCCUUUUACUCUUUACUACUAUUCUGUCUCAUCCUCUCUCUUAAUUAUUACAUCCUACAUGUCUGCAUUCUCUUCACCUUUUGAAAUAGCAAACCCUUUUUGUAAACAUAAUAUCUGUGACCCUGAACCAAAAUUUCAAAAAACAAUGGAUAACUUCUAUACCAUUUCUGUUUAUAUUGCCAGCUAACAUUGUAGAUGCCAAAAAAGGAAAUAAAUAUUUAGUUUAAUGCUGAAUAUUGAUUGCAUUGCUUGUUAUUAUUAUUUGUCUUCCCCUAAGGUAUUAGAAAAC
rnacentral:lncRNA from 1 species